AGCACUUCCUUCCUGCCCGGAGUGGCAGUUGGGUCUGGUGACUAGUACUUCCUUCCUGCCAGGGUGGAACUUGCUGCCUGGUGUUGGAGGAGGUAGGAGCUUGUUCAGCCCAGUCUGGUGUGGUGUGCUGCCUCUUCCUGGUUCAGCCAGAAGAUUCAGGCCCAGUCGCUUCUGAAGGUAAUGGGGCGCCAUUGAUGCACAUUGUGUUGGGGAACAGCAUGAUCAAGCCUUUGCUUUCAGAAAAUCCCUGGGAGUUCAAAUCAGAUGAAUUGAAGUGGGGAAAAACAAGGCAGAGUGACCAAAAGGAGUCCAGGUGAGAGGGAAAACAAUGAGCUGAAUUAGGGUCAGACUAUGUGAGAACACUUUUGCAGAUGUGAUUUUAGAGAAAUUACAAGAUUUGGCUAUCACUCAAAUGUGUGGGGUAAGAGUGAAAAUUUGAGAAUGACACCAAAUA
rnacentral:lncRNA from 1 species